CUCAGGGACUGAAACGUGGGCACAGGAUCUUCCCACAUCACGGACUGAGGAUGCAGUCAUAACAAACACUGACAAUGAAGAGAUUGAGGCCUUGAAAAAUACUGGAGCCAUGCCCACUCCCCCUGAGAUUUGUGCUUCCACUGUGGAUUUUUUCCUGGAGAGUGCUGUUCCUUAUCAGCAGCAGGUGCCAGCCAUGGUGAAGAACAUCCACCAGAGUCUCAUGUCCCACGUCACUGUGGAUGCCAGGCUGCACAGCGACAUUGUGAGGCUGGCUGAGGAACACCCUGCAGACGUGGCGCUGACCCUCCUGCACUGUGCCCCAACGUGUGACAGAGCUGCUGCAAUGAUGUGGAGAGCCAUAGGCACAUCAGGACCAACAAUGGAGAAGGUGCUGGCAACACUGCUCUGUGUGAUGGAGCAUUGGCCUGUGCACAGCACAUGCACCUCCGAUGGGGACAACAAG